GGAUAAUAGUUACGCUGAACGGUGCCCACUGGUCACCUGAACAGAAACGGUUAAAAUUGAGUCUAUACGCGACAAAAAAUAGUACAUGAUUUCCGGUUUAAAGUGAAAGUACGUUACUAAGGGGAUACUCAGUGCAGCAUACUCAGUUUAUAAUUGCUGUUAUACAAUACGGAUAUGAGCUUAAUGCAAAGUUCUGGAAUCACCAUAUUUCAAAGGAUACUGUUGAGAGAGGGUUUUUUGUUCGUGAAUUAAAUAGAGGAAAUAUGACAGGUGUAACAGGCGAUUUUGAAGGUUUGGAAAACUUUAAUUUGGAAGACCUCCAUGAAUUGCGACAUGAAGAAAAGGAAGAAGUUAAAAAACAGAUUGAAGCCAUAUAUAUUGAGGCAACCUCUUUGGAGAAAAAAGCCAGAGAAUUGGCAUGUGAUACAAAUUCAAAACAGUAUAUUCUUCGCCACGCACAAACCUUAACAGAAAAAGCAAAUGAGAUGAAAGAAAAGAUAUGCUUAGCAUCAGGGAAAUCAUUCCAAACACCUGAUGAACUACAAAUUGCUAUAAAGCAAUCCAUAGCUUCAAACGAGGAACAAACAUUAAUAGUUGAGAGACUUAAGAGGAACUGUUCAUCCCAUGGCUUAGAAUACAGAGGUCAAACACCAGG